rnacentral:lncRNA from 1 species
GUGUGCUUUCUUUUCUCUUAUUUUUAUUGCUUGAUUAUCUUCCGUAUCUUACGUUCUACGUUUGUUCUAGUUAUCUUUCUUCUAAAAAUGAUCUUAUUUUCGUUGUACUUAUGUGCUGUGUUGAUCGAAGUGUGCUUGAUUAUCCCAUUGCCUGUUCUUUUUGUUUGGUAUUAGAGUGCAGGAGAUUCUUUUAUAGCUGAUUUGAUGUGAAA